CGGACGACGCUGGCGGCGUGGAUUAGGCAUGCAAGUCGAACGGUAUCAUCCUUUCGGGGGUGAGAGAGUGGCGAACUGGUGAGUAACACGUAGGUUAUCUACCCUCAAGACGGGGACAACCCAGGGAAACUUGGGCUAAUACCGGAUGAGAGUGCGAGAGAUUGCAUUUAAAAGGAUGGCGAAAGUUGUCGCUUAGGGAUGAGCCUGCGGUCUAUUAGUUAGUUGGUGAGGUAAGAGCUCACCAAGGCGAUGAUAGAUAGGCGGCCUUAACGGGUGGUCGCCCACACUGGGAUUGAGAUACGGCCCAGACUCCUACGGGAGGCAGCAGUCGAGAAUAGUCUACAAUGGCCGGAAGGCUGAUAGUGCGACGCCGCGUGAACGAGGGAGCCCUUCGGGGUGUAAAGUUCUUUUCUAUACGAGCAGUGCUAUAUAUAUGGAUAGUAUAUAUAGAGGGAUAGUAGUAUAGGAAUAAGCAACGGCUAACUCCGUG
rnacentral:rRNA from 1 species